UCACCCUUGCAUGAUGUCCGCAUUAUCCCCCUUAUAGGAUAAUACCCGUAUCAGCAACUACGGUUUCCAAUGAUGAGCCCUUACACUCAAAUGCCUUCUUCGGAUAACCAAUUAGCUCUCUUAAGCCCAAAUUUUAAUUAUUCAAAAUCUGGUAUCACCCUUGGAUGCUUCGUGUUUUCAAACGUUCAAUACUUUUUCUAUUAAGGGCAUGUCAUCAUCGGGUAUCGUCAUACCCUGACUUGCAAGUCAAUAUCAUAUCAAAUUCACAGCCCAUAUUAUAUUCAAAACAUGCACAUGACCACCAAUGAAAUUCAUAACAUUACAAUAGAGUCAUCACUUGGAAACCUCAAGAACAUUUAAGCAUUUAUCCUCUCUUGGCAAGAUUUCAAAACAUGUGGUGGUCAUGUAAAAUUGAUCAAUCUCAUGUGAUUCUCCCCCCUUUAAAACAAGAAUAUAGUUAUAGCAAGAAACUCCCUCUCAUCACAUAUAAACCAUGUCAAACACCAUAAUAUUGAGAAGAUCACUUUCAAAUCUUAAAACAUGUGUUUCAAUUCCUUCACAAUGAACAUAUAAACUUUAGUUAGCAACGAGAGGGGAUUCAUGCUCAUGCUCUCAAUCAAUUUUACAAAAUACACAAAAUCCCAUACAUAUAUAGUUAUAAUUCAAUUUCCAUGAAAAGUGAUUCAAGACAAUAUAUAUUUUCAUCAAAACAAUCCCAUGAUGCAUACCUUCCAAAAACCAUGUAGAAUACUUCAUUAUAAAACAUAAUUGGGGAUCUUUAAUCUUGAUAAAAAUAUUUAAACUUAUGCCCAAGGUUUUUAGAGUAGUCCCACACACCUUAGAUUAUCAGAUCUGAAAGAUUGAACCCGAAUGUUGAUAUAUUUCCUUCAAAACUUGGCUUAAGAGUCAGGGAUUUUUUUCUUGUUCUUGGGGAAAUGGAGGAUGAUUUUUGAUUUGGGGAGAAUAUGAAUUUG
rnacentral:lncRNA from 1 species